rnacentral:piRNA from 1 species
UCCUGAAGGAUUGAUCUGAGAUUUUCUCU